CUGGAGGACCGAACCGACUAAUGUUGAAAAAUUAGCGGAUGACCUGUGGCUGGGGGUGAAAGGCCAAUCAAACCGGGAGAUAGCUGGUUCUCCCCGAAAGCUAUUUAGGUAGCGCCUCGUGAAUUCAUCUCCGGGGGUAGAGCACUGUUUCGGCUAGGGGGCCAUCCCGGCUUACCAACCCGAUGCAAACUGCGAAUACCGGAGAAUGUUAUCACGGGAGACACACGGCGGGUGCUAACGUCCGUCGUGAAGAGGGAAACAACCCAGACCGCCAGCUAAGGUCCCAAAGUCAUGGUUAAGUGGGAAACGAUGUGGGAAGGCCCAGACAGCCAGGAUGUUGGCUUAGAAGCAGCCAUCAUUUAAAGAAAGCGUAAUAGCUCACUGGUCGAGUCGGCCUGCGCGGAAGAUGUAACGGGGCUAAACCAUG
rnacentral:rRNA from 3 species